GGUGACACCCACCCCAGGGACGUGACACCGGUCCCAGGAACGUGCCACCCACCCCGAGAAUGUGACACCCACCGUGGGGAUGGAACCCAGCCCAGGGACACGCUGCUCUCCCUGUGGCUCUGCCACCGUCCCUGGGGCACACACGCCCACCCCAGGCCCUGCCACCCCACCCAGCCCCCUCCACCCCUCUCACAGGGUCUGAUUUUCUCCUCGUCCGUCUCCAUCCUGUCCUUGUCCGGGUGCUCGUGGGGCUUCGUCGGGGGGGGGCAGCCCGUAGGUCCCUGGGGGGCACAGGGUGGGGGGCUGGGCCAGCUUCUGCAGAUUGGGGGCAGGGAUGGGGAUGGCUGGGGGGCUGGGCUGCCCGUCCCUCCCGCCUCCUCACUCACACUCAUCGUAGUCCGGUGGCUCGAAGCCCUCGCCGUAGUCCCCGUCGGUCACCGGGCCGGGCAGGGGGGGCUGCGGGAGGGGCCGCGGGGGCGGCUGCGGGGGGGGGCUCCUCCGGCUCUGCUUGGGGGAGGGAAGGGUCUGUGCUGGAGAUGGGGCGGCCCUGAGGGUCCCCAUGUCCCUGCAGGGUGCCCCCUGUCCCCUGUGGGGUCCCUACGGGGUCAGCCCCCCCCAGGCACCCACAUUUCCCUUUCAUGUGCCCACCAGACCCCUCUGUACCCCUGUAACUGGGAUGGCCAUGCCCCCAAGAGAUCCCCACAAGUGUCCCCCGAGGAGUCCUCCAAGCUCCAAUGGGAACUCCAUGUCCCUGCAGGGUUCUCCGUGCUCCCACAGGGUCCCCAUGUCCCUGCAGGGUUCUCUGUGUCCCUACAGGACCCUCCUAUAUCCCCUCAGGACCCCGUGUGCCACCAAGAGAUCCCCACCCCCCUACAGGGUCCCUUAUGCUGUCCCCAUGCUCACCCCAGCUCCAGGCUGCCCCAAACCUCUGCUUCCCUGGGUUCCCAAGUCUGGGGCUGCCCCCAACCUCACCCUGAGCGGUGCCAGCCCCCCGUGUCCCCCUCCCACGUACGCGUCUCCUCGGGCUGGGGCCAGACCCGCUCUGGUCUCCUCCUGGCCGGGGGCUUGGGGGGCUUCUGCUGCCGCCGGACGAACUCGACUGGGGACACAGAGGGUGGCACUGGCUUUGAGCUGAGGGCGGGGGGGACGCGCCCCCGGUCCCUCCCCGCGGGCAGCGCCCGGCUCCGUACAGUCCUCGUAGUCCUCCCGCUCCAGCUGCUCGUUGUAGUCCAGGGUCGGGGGCUCUGGCUCCUCGGGGACCUCUGCAGACAAGGGGCACAGGGGGGCACUGGGUGCAGGCAGGGACAGCAGGGAGGUGGCACUUGGGAACAGGAAGGAGGCCCUGAGGUAAGGGUGGUGGCCCUGGGGCACAGAGCAGGUGACACCUGCGAGCAGGGAAUUAGUGCAGAGUGCAGGGAGGGA
rnacentral:lncRNA from 1 species